UUCCUAGCUAAAUUCAGCAUCAUUUCUAGUACCUGCCAUUUCCUGUAAUCUUUUGCCAAAUUCAUUCUGUGGAAUUGACUUCUCAGCCCACCUCCCUUUGAUCCAAGAUGGUCUUUUAUUUGAGGAAGUAGUUUCUCCCCCCCCCUCGUUCAUCUUUGGACCUAUUGAUUGAUUGAAUGAUUGCACCAAGAGACCUUGGCCUCACUCAAGAGGCUCUGACUACCUGUAUCACUGCCUACCAUGGAAGCAGCCUGACAUUUCCACUGCCUUGAAGGAAGAGCAAUUUAUUUGCCAAACAGAUCAGGUGAAGCGAGGAAGAGCCACCUCGGAUCUAAUCUCAGGAUCUAUUUGCCCUUACUAACCCUGACUAAGUGUCUUCGCAGCUGCAGAUGUUGACACAGCAAAGACCACCAUCCUUUGCACCUCCUUAUGAAGGCUUGACUUUUGCACAAAGCCUCUGGCUCCUCCUUAACCCCGGCCGUUGCUCCUUGCUCCUCAGCUGCCUGCGAGAAUGGGGCGAAGGAGUCUGGACCUCAUCUUCUCCCUUGGACUGGUGGGGGCUAUUGGCUUGCUCUGGUGUAGGAAGUUGCUGGGUGCCCGGCUGAGGAUCCACGAACUGGCAAGGCGGCUCCUCAGGUGCGGGUGAGGGGUAUGUGUCCAGAGUUACAGGCUCUGACAGUUCGCACUGCUCUCCCAUGGGGGAGUCAGGUGACUGGGCACGCUGCACACUCUCUUCCCUCAGUCCGUCACCCCAGUCCUCCAAGAGAGUCCCCCUCCUCCAAGCCUUCCCCCCGAACCUGGGUCACAACAGUAUCCUACAAAACUGCCUGAAGCAGCUCUAGAUAUCUCCAAUAUGCCAGUCAGCACUACACACACCAAGAUAAUGUGGCUCCCCUUCCUUUCUGCUAGCGCCAAACAAUAAUUACAGGUAGCAAUUUUUUUAAAAAAGCAGACAAAUCCAAAUUCUAUGGAAAGGAGAUCUCACUUCUGCACCCAUAACUGAAUACAUACAUUAAAGAAAAUCUGCAUUUAUUUAUUUAGCACAAUUCCACAUGAAAUAAAGACACAGGAGACGUGAGUGUAGGCCACAAGUGGGGGACCUGUGCCACCCCCAAUGUUGUUGGACUACCACUCCCAUCAUCCCUGACCAUUGGCUGUGCUGGCUGAGGCUGGUGGGAUUUAGAGUCCAUUAAGACCUGGAGGGCCGUAGAUUGCCCAUCCUUGGCCUUGGCCCUCGGCCAGCUUUUCCCCAACUAUGUUGCCUCCAGAUGAUGCUGGACUACAACUCCCAUCGUCCUUGACCACUGGCUAUGCUGGCUGCGGCUGCUGGGAGAUGUAGUCUAAAACAUCUGCAGGGGACCAGUUGGAGGAAGGCUGCUGUAGGCUCUGGGAGUACUAUGUAGUUUUGCAAUUAGCGUUGCCUGCCUGUGUAAUACCUGCUCAACCUGUACCUAAA